CCUACGGGAGGCAGCAGUCGAGAAUUUUUCUCAAUGGGGGCAACCCUGAAGGAGCGACGCCGCGUGGAGGAUGAAGGCUUUCGGGUUGUAAACUCCUGUCAUUUGGGAACAAGGUGCACAUGUUAACUGCAUGUGCAUUGAUAGUACCAGAAGAGGAAGAGACGGCUAACUCUGUGCCAGCAGCCGCGGUAAUACAGAGGUCUCAAGCGUUGUUCGGAUUCAUUGGGCGUAAAGGGUGCGUAGGUGGCGCCGUAAGUCAGGUGUGAAAUUUCGGAGCUCAACUCCGAAACUGCAUUUGAUACUGCGGUGCUUGAGGACUGGAGAGGAGACUGGAAUUCACGGUGUAGCAGUGAAAUGCGUAGAUAUCGUGAGGAAGACCAGUGGCGAAGGCGGGUCUCUGGACAGUUCCUGACACUGAGGCACGAAGGCCAGGGGAGCAAACGGGAUUAGAUACCCCGGUAGUCCUGGCAGUAAACGGUGCACGUUUGGUGUGGGAGGACUCGACCCCUUCUGCGCCGGAGCUAACGCGUUAAACGUGCCGCCUGGGGAGUACGGUCGCAAGAUUAAAACUCAAAGAAAUUGACGGGGGCCCGCACAAGCGGUGGAGUAUGUGGCUUAAUUCGAUGCAACGCGAAGAACCUUACCUGGCCUUGACAUGCAUCUCUAAGUUGGUGAAAGCCAGCGAGUCCCGAAAGGGACAAUUUGCACAGGUGCUGCAUGGCUGUCGUCAGCUCGUGUCGUGAGAUGUUGGGUUAAGUCCCGCAACGAGCGCACCCCUGUGAACUGUUGCCAUCCUCUUUAUUGGAGCACUCUGUUCAGACUGCCUGUGAAACGGGGAGGAGGGUGGGGACGAUCUCAG
rnacentral:rRNA from 1 species